CCGCGGUAAUACGUAGGUGGCAACGUUGUCCGGAUUACUGGGUGUAAAGGGCGUGUAGGCGGGUGCUAAGUCAGUGGUGAAAUCCGGGGCUCAACCCCGGGGCUGCCAUUGAAACUGGGUAUCUUGAGUGCAGGAGAGGAAAGGGAAUUCCUAGUGUAGCGGUGAAAUGCGUAGAUAUUAGGAGGAACACCGGUGGCGAAGGCGCUUUCUGGACUGUAACUGACGCUGAGGCGCGAAAGCGUGGGGAGCAAACAGGAUUAGAUCCCUGGUAGUCCACGCUGUAAACGAUGGAUACUAGGUGUCGGGGGUAUCGAGUCCCCCGGGCCGGAGUUAACACAAUAAGUAUCCCACCUGGGGAGUACGACCGCAAGGUUGAAACUCAAGGAAUUGACGGGGGCCCGCACAAGCAGUGGAGUAUGUGGUUUAAUUCGAAGCAACGCGAAAACCUUACCAGGACUUGACAUCCCUUGCAUAACCCUUAACCGGGAAAAUCCUUCGGGACAGGUGACAGGUGGUGCAUGGUUGUCGUCAGCUCGUGUCGUGAGAUGUUGGGUUAAGUCCCGAACGAGCGCAACCCUUGUUGUUAGUUGCCAUCAUUUAGUUGGGCACUCUAACGAGACUGCGUUGAUAAAACGGAGGAAGGUGGGGACGACGUCAAAUCAUCAUGCCCCUUAUGUUCUGGGUACACACGUACUACAAUGGCUGCAACAGAGGGAAGCAAAGCGGUAACGCAGAGCAAACCCUAAAUGCAGUCUCAGUUCGGAUUGUGGGCUGAAACCCGCCCACAUGAAGUUGGAAUUGCUGUAAUCGCGGAUCAGCAUGCCGCGGUGAAUACGUUCCCGGGCCUUGUACACACCGCCCGU
rnacentral:rRNA from 1 species